rnacentral:rRNA from 1 species
UACGGAGGGGGCUAGCGUUGUUCGGAAUUACUGGGCGUAAAGCGCGCGUAGGCGGCUUUGUAAGUUAGAGGUGAAAGCCCGGAGCUCAACUCCGGAAUUGCCUUUAAGACUGCAUCGCUAGAAUCAUGGAGAGGUGAGUGGAAUUCCGAGUGUAGAGGUGAAAUUCGUAGAUAUUCGGAAGAACACCAGUGGCGAAAGGCGACUUACUGGUCCAUAACUGACGCUGAGGUGCGAAAGCGUGGGGAGCAAACAGG